AUAACCCUCCUGACCACCUGUAGGUCUGGGUUUUUGCAUCCCAUCCACAACUGCUAUUCUCCUCUCCUACUUUAAGGAACAAACACUAUCCCACCUUGUGGAGCCUACACGUGGAACGAUAACAGAAAAUGUACUGCCAUUCAUAUACAGUGAAAUGAAGCCCAGUAACAGAAGGUUUUGUACAACUGUUUUGCUGGUAUACUUUGAAAGCACUAUAUGAGUCGUAAGAGACAUCAUGGAAGAACAAAGAUGGCUAUACUCCAGUUUUCUGUUGGUGGUUUGUAUUCAUGAAAAUUAGACAUGAUGGCUAUACUCCACUUUUUCUGUUGGUGGUUUGUAUUCAUGAAAAUUGGACAUGCUGUUCGUUCAAUCACCAUGGACCAGUGGCCAUCACAAGUAGUCUCUGGUGCUAACAUUACUUUGGGAUGCUCGUUUGUUCCAGAAAUUGAUUAUGUUUUUGCAACCAUGGAAGUUGCAUGGCACUUCCGCAGUAACAGCCAUUGGACAGUUGUCUAUUAUUAUGUCAAUCAAACAGCGCAACUAGUGGAUCAGGAUAGGAGGUUCCAUGGACGAGCAUGGAUUGUUCCAAAGGAACUGAAGGAGGAAAAAGCCUCUCUCAGCAUUAGCAGUGUAAGACUGACUGAUAGAGGAGAGUAUCGCUGCAUUGUUAUGGAUAGUGGUGGAGCUGCCUUUGACUCAGCCUCCUUGACAGUAUUAGCCCCUUACUCAUCCCCCAGACUGACAGCUAUUUAUGGAAAUGGAACAUUUAUUCUGCACUGUCUGUCUGAAGGAGGAUACCCUCAGGGUGAAGUGAUAUGGCAUAAUGGAAGGAAGAGCAACUCAACCAAUUAUGGUCAACAGAGUGGUUAGCGAACUCUGAUGGUGGCUUCCACAUUAACAGCACAGUGUCUGUACCAUUACAGGAACUCAAAAUGGUCUGUUGUUCUGUGAUUCAUACAGUGUUACAUCAGAAUGUGACAGCCUGUAAGGAAAUUAAAGCAGAGCAUAUGGAUAGCAGGAACUCCAGAAAUCGACCUUUAUCCAUUGUUGCGAUAUUUCUUGUGCUUUUUUUAUGUGGCAUUGGCAUUACAUCCCUGAAGGCAUCUAAGUGUGAAAGAUGCAAGAGAAAACAUUUCUCAAGGAGAAAUACUAGAAGGAAUAUCGAGAUGUCUCAAAUGGGUUCUUCAUCCUCAACUGACUCCUAGGUUUCUGAAAAUGCAAGCUGUAGCUGGUUGAAGAUUGUAGGAGGCACUGCUAACAUUCACUAAUAGAAGUAGCAGCUCAAACUCUACAAACAGUGGGGAAGUGUCUAUAUUUUGGAACAAAUGCAUAUUACAGUUGGUUAUUUUGUCAGCCAGGCUUAGUUGUGAAGCUGCAGAAGGGACAGUACAGCAAGGAGUUAUGGUAUACUUGGAUAUGAACAGAAGAUCUGAAGUAGUUAACUUAAUUUGAUCAGCAACCUGUGGCAGCUUUCCUAGCUCAA